rnacentral:rRNA from 1 species
GGGUUGUGAGGUUAAGCGACUAAGCGUACACGGUGGAUGCCCUGGCAGUCAGAGGCGAUGAAGGACGUGCUAAUCUGCGAUAAGCGUCGGUAAGGUGAUAUGAACCGUUAUAACCGGCGAUUUCCGAAUGGGGAAACCCAGUGUGUUUCGACACACUAUCAUUAACUGAAUCCAUAGGUUAAUGAGGCGAACCGGGGGAACUGAAACAUCUAAGUACCCCGAGGAAAAGAAAUCAACCGAGAUUCCCCCAGUAGCGGCGAGCGAACGGGGAGGAGCCCAGAGCCUGAAUCAGUGUGUGUGUUAGUGGAAGCGUCUGGAAAGGCGCGCGAUACAGGGUGACAGCCCCGUACACAAAAAUGCACAUGCUGUGAGCUCGAUGAGUAGGGCGGGACACGUGGUAUCCUGUCUGAAUAUGGGGGGACCAUCCUCCAAGGCUAAAUACUCCUGACUGACCGAUAGUGAACCAGUACCGUGAGGGAAAGGCGAAAAGAACCCCGGCGAGGGGAGUGAAAAAGAACCUGAAACCGUGUACGUACAAGCAGUGGGAGCACGCUUAGGCGUGUGACUGCGUACCUUUUGUAUAAUGGGUCAGCGACUUAUAUUCUGUAGCAAGGUUAACCGAAUAGGGGAGCCGAAGGGAAACCGAGUCUUAACUGGGCGUUAAGUUGCAGGGUAUAGACCCGAAACCCGGUGAUCUAGCCAUGGGCAGGUUGAAGGUUGGGUAACACUAACUGGAGGACCGAACCGACUAAUGUUGAAAAAUUAGCGGAUGACUUGUGGCUGGGGGUGAAAGGCCAAUCAAACCGGGAGAUAGCUGGUUCUCCCCGAAAGCUAUUUAGGUAGCGCCUCGUGAAUUCAUCUCCGGGGGUAGAGCACUGUUUCGGCAAGGGGGUCAUCCCGACUUACCAACCCGAUGCAAACUGCGAAUACCGGAGAAUGUUAUCACGGGAGACACACGGCGGGUGCUAACGUCCGUCGUGAAGAGGGAAACAACCCAGACCGCCAGCUAAGGUCCCAAAGUCAUGGUUAAGUGGGAAACGAUGUGGGAAGGCCCAGACAGCCAGGAUGUUGGCUUAGAAGCAGCCAUCAUUUAAAGAAAGCGUAAUAGCUCACUGGUCGAGUCGGCCUGCGCGGAAGAUGUAACGGGGCUAAACCAUGCACCGAAGCUGCGGCAGCGACGCUUAUGCGUUGUUGGGUAGGGGAGCGUUCUGUAAGCCUGUGAAGGUGUGCUGUGAGGCAUGCUGGAGGUAUCAGAAGUGCGAAUGCUGACAUAAGUAACGAUAAAGCGGGUGAAAAGCCCGCUCGCCGGAAGACCAAGGGUUCCUGUCCAACGUUAAUCGGGGCAGGGUGAGUCGACCCCUAAGGCGAGGCCGAAAGGCGUAGUCGAUGGGAAACAGGUUAAUAUUCCUGUACUUGGUGUUACUGCGAAGGGGGGACGGAGAAGGCUAUGUUGGCCGGGCGACGGUUGUCCCGGUUUAAGCGUGUAGGCUGGUUUUCCAGGCAAAUCCGGAAAAUCAAGGCUGAGGCGUGAUGACGAGGCACUACGGUGCUGAAGCAACAAAUGCCCUGCUUCCAGGAAAAGCCUCUAAGCAUCAGGUAACAUCAAAUCGUACCCCAAACCGACACAGGUGGUCAGGUAGAGAAUACCAAGGCGCUUGAGAGAACUCGGGUGAAGGAACUAGGCAAAAUGGUGCCGUAACUUCGGGAGAAGGCACGCUGAUAUGUAGGUGAAGUCCCUCGCGGAUGGAGCUGAAAUCAGUCGAAGAUACCAGCUGGCUGCAACUGUUUAUUAAAAACACAGCACUGUGCAAACACGAAAGUGGACGUAUACGGUGUGACGCCUGCCCGGUGCCGGAAGGUUAAUUGAUGGGGUCAGCGCAAGCGAAGCUCUUGAUCGAAGCCCCGGUAAACGGCGGCCGUAACUAUAACGGUCCUAAGGUAGCGAAAUUCCUUGUCGGGUAAGUUCCGACCUGCACGAAUGGCGUAAUGAUGGCCAGGCUGUCUCCACCCGAGACUCAGUGAAAUUGAACUCGCUGUGAAGAUGCAGUGUACCCGCGGCAAGACGGAAAGACCCCGUGAACCUUUACUAUAGCUUGACACUGAACAUUGAGCCUUGAUGUGUAGGAUAGGUGGGAGGCUU